UACGUAGGAUCCGAGCGUUAUCCGGAUUUAUUGGGUUUAAAGGGUGCGCAGGCGGGAGAUUAAGUCGGCGGUGAAAUUUUGCAGCUCAACUGUAAAAGUGCCUUCGAAACUGGUUUCCUUGAGUGUAGAUGAAGUAGGCGGAAUUUGUGGUGUAGCGGUGAAAUGCAUAGAUAUUACACAGAACACCGAUUGCGAAGGCAGCUUACUAAUCCAUCAUUGACGCUGAGGCACGAAAGCGUGGGGAUCAAACAGGAUUAGAUACCCCGGUAGU
rnacentral:rRNA from 1 species